CAGUUUGCUACAACGCAAUGAAGACCAUAAAAGAAGAUACCAGCCUGGCUUUUGAGAUGAUGGGAUGAGGGGGCUGAAAGAGUGGUAAUUAAUGGACUCAAGAUUUCCCAACUUGCAUCUGUUACCACGCAUCUGGCCCUCAGACAGACUAUAUGUGAUGGUAAUAUGGAGUGACAAAAAACAUUCUUUAAUUUGGUAAACUAUGGCAACGUGUAGAAUCGCAUGGCCUAACAGGAGUUAUGUGCCAAUACCGGUUUGUGGACCUCAAUGGAAGUAUGCCAAAAUAGUAUCAGAGAGAUAGGCGUGAAGGAGGCCACUUAUGGGGCCACUUUGAAGAUUCCAGAUCUGCUUAAGUUUUUGGUGGGAGUUAGGGACUUCAUGCUACAAUAAGCCCCUUGCUACCAGUGACAUAAUAGAAAAAAAAGUAAGGAAUUCAAGGUCCCCGACAUGCCAAGAGCAGCUUUUAGUGCUGGUCUGACAGGAGGGAUUAGUACAUCUAUAGCAGUAUUUGGUCACGAGCUGCCCUAUGAAUUAGCCUGGAACACAGUUGGCCUUCUGGACUGCAAGAGCACACCGUGAUGGCUUACGUAGGCAUGCUGAUCGGCACAGCGGUGGGACAGUAUGCGAUUAACAUCACCCUGUGGAUCUUCACAGUCACUGCAGACAUGUUCCUCUAUGUGGCGUUGGUCUAAAUGCUUCCGGAGAUGCUUCACGGAGACGCAGAUAACGAAGAGCACGGUUAUUGUCCGGUGGGGCAGUUCAUUCUGCAGAAUCUAGGCCUGCUUCUUGGAUUUGCCAUCAUGCUGGUGAUUGCCCUCUACGAAGAUAAAAUUGUGCUUAACAUCCAGUUUUGACCAUAUCCCGGGUUUUGCUGUGGAUACGAUGCUAUUACUGUACGGCUUCGAGUCUGCACUGUUUCACUGUAUGCACAUAGCUUAGAGGAAAAGCAGCGGCUUGCACUACUUACGCAAGUACAUCCCAUUCAUUUCUGUAUGUGUUACCUGCUGCAUUUUUCCAAUUCAAAUCAGAUGAGAUGACCCUAACGCAUCUUCUCAACUCCAUUAAGUGGCAAUUGGGAAAUAGUAAAUUCCAGAAAUAAAUGCCAAGUUCAGUGUGCUGCUCGCUUAUAUUAAAAAAAGACAGCGAAGGAUGUACGUGCUUGGGGAAAAAAAGCAUUUCUUACAUUGUUUACCAGAACCCAGAAAAUUUUACAGCUGAAAAUUGUACCUAUGCAAGGCACCUGAGUACACUUACAGCACUGCACAAGUCUUAAGCAGUAGGCAUAUAUAUAUGUAUAUGUAUGUAUCUUAUUCUAUCUGUGCGUAUGCAUGCACUCGAGUCACGGGAUAAUUACUGAGGAUCUUAGCUUCGAUAACUUACGUUGCCUAUGUAUUGAACUGACCCUUAAUUUUAAUUUUUUGUUAACUCUGUCGAGUGUGGUCUAA